rnacentral:lncRNA from 1 species
GCUGUGAUUGGUUCAUGGAUUUCAAAAUAAGGAAAAUGAAAAUGUAAAAGAAAAGGAAAUCAAGGACUUUUGAAAUCCCAGUUGUGUUUGGUUCCUAAGUAAAAUAGUGAUGAAAAUGGCUUUGUGGAAAAUCAUUUUACUUACUUUUGUUUGGUUUCUAGGAAAAAAUGUGAAAAUGACAAUAAAUUAUUAAAUGGGGUAAUUUUAUUUUCUAUCAAAGAUG